GUUCAAACCAGUGAUUGGUAAGUCUAGAAGCUGGAGUGAAGAAGACCCUAUUCUCAGGAUUUCAGGUUUAGGAGCUUUCCUGCCCUAAACUUGUGAGAUAUACGGGAAUGAAGAA
rnacentral:lncRNA from 12 species